ensembl:lncRNA
UGAAAACGGAAACAACAAGUAUGCCGUCUCACUGUGCUGCAUACAAUUACACACUACGUCGUACGAUUGAGACAAGGAAACUUGGAAUGACUUUUCAUAGGUUUCCCAGAGACUAUGGGUUGAGGAGGAAGUGGAAGUUUGUCGGCUUAGACCUGGUGUCAUUCCAUCAGUGUUUAACUUCCUGGCUCAUCUUGGAAGAGUACGUGCCAGAAAGACCACGACCAAGCAGCCUUGAGAUCUUAGGCAGCGUCUCCCUGAGGUCCCUCUCUAUCUCCACACAUCCACCAACCACUGGAACACAUCUCCAAAGUUCUGCUGGGCCAGCUCAGCUUCCCCUCAGAAGAAGUGCUGCCACCUGCCAGAUGAAGGAGCCUUUUGAGAGGCAGCUGGCAUCGUGAUUGGACUGUACUUUGGUCUGUUCCAAUCCAGCUUCAGCUCCAGAGACGGCAGGUGGGACGAGUCAACGGAGGCCUGGUGGACGAAGGCAUGCAGCUGAGUACAAUCCAGAAAACAACAGAGGAGGAGUGCAGGGCCAGAACAAG